rnacentral:SRP_RNA from 1 species
GCCUGGCAUGGUGGCUUAUGCCAGUAAUCCGAGCUACCUGGGAGGCUGAGGUGGGAGGAUCUCUUGAGCCCAGGAGUUUGAAGCUGCAGUGAGCUAUGAUGACACCACUGCACUCCAGCCUGGGCAACAGAGUGAGACCCUAUCUCUA